CGCGGAGUGGAGAAGUUGGCAUCUCGCAAGGCUCAUAACCUUGAAAUCGCUGGUUCUGAAUCCAGCCUCCGCCACCA
rnacentral:tRNA from 1 species